UGGGGAAUUGUUCGCAAUGGGCGCAAGCCUGACGACGCAACGCCGCGUGGAGGAUGAAGGUCUUCGGAUUGUAAACUCCUGUUGACCGGGACGAAUGGGCGACGACCUAACACGUCGGAGCAGUGACGGUACCGGUUGAGGAAGGCACGGCUAACUCUGUGCCAUCAGCCGCGGUAAUACAGAGGUGGCAAGCGUUGUUCGGAAUUACUGGGCGUAAAGGGCGCGUAGGCGGCCUUCUAAGUCGGACGUGAAAUCCCCAGGCUUAACUUGGGAACUGCGUCCGAUACUGGAUGGCUUGAGCGCGGGAGAGGGAUGUGGAAUUCCAGGUGUAGCGGUGAAAUGCGUAGAUAUCUGAAGGAACACCGGUGGCGAAGGCGGCAUCCUGGACCGACACUGACGCUGAUGCGCGAAAGCCAGGGGAGCAAA
rnacentral:rRNA from 1 species